AGUAACGGCGAGUGAAGCGGCAACAGCUCAAAUUUGAAAUCUGGCUCUUUCAGGGUCCGAGUUGUAAUUUGCAGAGGGCGCUUUGGCGUUGGCAGCGGUCCAAGUUCUUUGGAACAGGACGUCACAGAGGGUGAGAAUCCCGUACGUGGUCGCUAGCCUUCGCCGUGUAAAGCCCCUUCGACGAGUCGAGUUGUUUGGGAAUGCAGCUCUAAAUGGGAGGUAAAUUUCUUCUAAAGCUAAAUACUGGCCAGAGACCGAUAGCGCACAAGUAGAGUGAUCGAAAGAUGAAAAGCACUUUGGAAAGAGAGUCAAAUAGCACGUGAAAUUGUUGAAAGGGAAGCGCUUGCAGCCAGACUUGCCUGUAGUUGCUUAUCUGGACUUUUGUCCGGUGCACUCUUCUGCGGGCAGGCCAGCAUCAGUUUGGGCGGUUGGAUAAAGGUCUCUGUCAUGUACCUCCUUUCGGGGAGGCCUUAUAGGGGAGACGACAUGCAACCAGCCUGGACUGAGGUCCGCGCAUCUGCUAGGAUGCUGGCGUAAUGGCUGUAAGCGGCCCGUCUUGAAACACGGACCAAGGAGUCUAACAUCUAUGCGAGUGUUUGGGUGUCAAGCCCAGACGCGUAAUGAAAGUGAACGGAGGUGGGAACCCUUUGGGUGCACCAUCGACCGAUCCUGAUGUCUUCGGAUGGAUUUGAGUAAGAGCAUGGCUGUUGGGACCCGAAAGAUGGUGAACUAUGCUUGAAUAGGGUGAAGCCAGAGGAAACUCUGGUGGAGGCUCGCAGCGGUUCUGACGUGCAAAUCGAUCGUCAAAUUUGGGCAUAGGGGCG
rnacentral:rRNA from 1 species